GGUAAAGCUACUAAGAGCGUAUGGAGGAUGCCUAGGCACAUGGAGGCGAUGAAGGACGUGGUAAGCUGCGAUAAGCUUCGGGUAGGUGCAAACAACCUUAAAUCCGGAGAUUUCCGAAUGGGACAACCCAGCCCGGGUUAUGCCGGGUUACUCCCACCUGAAUACAUAGGGUGGGUUGAGCCAACGGGGAGAACUGACACAUCUAAGUACCCCCAGGAAGAGAAAAUACUAAUGAUUUCCCCAGUAGCGGCGAGCGAACAGGAAAGAGCCUAAACCGUUAACGUGUCAAGCCCAAGAGCGUUGCGCUAACGGUGUUGUGGGACUGGAAUAGAGUCAAUCUUGGACGACUCGACAAGUCAAAAAAUCAAUCGUUAGAUGAAGUGGUAUGGAAAGACCAGCCAUAGAAGGUGAUAGCCCUGUAAUCAAAAACGAGCGAUCUUGUUGAUUCCAGAUCCCGAGUAACACGGAACACGAGAAAUUUUGUGUGAAUCUGCCGGGACCAUCCGGUAAGGCUAAAUACUCCCAUGUGACCGAUAGUGAACUAGUACCGUGAGGGAAAGGUGAAAAGUACUCCUAGCGGAGAGUGAAAUAGAACCUGAAACCGUGCGCUUACAAGCGGUCGGAGUCCGCGACAUCUUCGGAUGUCGGGAUGACGGCGUGCCUUUUGCAUAAUGAUCCAGCGAGUUGCUCGUAUGUUGCGAGGUUAAGAUCCAAAGAUCGAAGCCAUAGGGAAACCGAGUCUGAAUAGGGCGUUUAGUAGCAUGCGGCAGACCCGAAACCGAGUGAUCUAGCCAUGGCCAGGUUGAAGUUCCGGUAACACGGAAUGGAGGACCGAACCCACCAGCGUUGAAAAGCUGGGGGAUGAGCUGUGGCUAGGGGUGAAAGGCCAAUCAAACUCGGAGAUAUCUGGUUCUCGUCGAAAUGCCUUUAGGGGCAGCGUUGUAUAAGUGUAUCGGGGGUAGAGCACUGAAUGGGCUAGGGGGCCUACAAGCUUACCAACCCCAAUUAAACUCCGAAUACCGAAUACAUGAUGUACAGCAGUGAGGCUACGGGUGAUAAGAUUCGUAGCCGAGAGGGAAACAACCCAGACCAUCAGCUAAGGUCCCUAAAUUGAUACUAAGUGAUAAAGGAUGUGGAAUCGCCCAGACAGCUAGGAGGUUGGCUUAGAAGCAGCCAUCCUUUAAAGAAAGCGUAAUAGCUCACUAGUCAAGGGGUUCUGCGCCGAUAAUUUCCGGGACUAAGUAUCAUACCGAAGCUAUGGGAUUCAUUCGAUUAGAAUGGAUCGGUAGACGAGCGUUCUAUUAACCUGCGAAGGUUGACCCGUGAGGGCAGCUGGAGGAGAUAGAAAUGAGUAUGCUGGAAUGAGUAGCGAUAAAGCCUGUGAAAUGCAGGCUCGCCGUAAGCCCAAGGUUUCCUGAGUAAAGUUAAUCUGCUCAGGGUUAGUCGGACCCUAAGCCGAGGCCGAAAGGCGUAGGCGAUGGAAAACAGGUUUAAUAUUCCUGUACCAGUUUAAUAUUGUUUGAACUAUGGGGGGACGCAGAAGUGAAAGGAGAUCCCGGUUUUGAUAGUCCGGGUUUAAGUGUGUAGGGAGUUCUGGUAGGUAAAUCCGCCAGAGCAUUAUCCUGAGGCACGAAUAGGAGGGCCUAGCCCAUAAACUCUCCCUAAUCAUACUGCCAAGAAAAUCCUCUAUGUGAGAUAUUAGACUGACCGUACCGUAAACGGACACACGUAGGCGAGGAGAGAAUCCUAAGGCGCUUGAGAGAAUCCAAGUAAAGGAACUAGGCAAAUUAGCCCCGUAACUUCGGGAGAAGGGGUGCCACUUAAAGAAAAGGACUUCGCGUCCUGCUUUUUGAGUGGUCGCAGUGACCAGGCCCAAACGACUGUUUACUAAAAACACAGGUCUCUGCUAAGUCGUAAGACGAAAUAUAGGGACUGACACCUGCCCGGUGCUGGAAGGUUAAAUGGAGAGGUUAGCUUCGGCGAAGCUUUGAAAUGAAGCCCCAGUAAACGGCGGCCGUAACUAUAACGGUCCUAAGGUAGCGAAAUUCCUUGUCGGGUAAGUUCCGACCUGCACGAAUGGUGUAACGAUUUGGGCACUGUCUCUACUUGGAGCUCAGCGAAAUUGAAGUGUCGGUGAAGAUGCCGGCUACCCGCGGCCGGACGAAAAGACCCCGUGCACCUUUACUAUAACCUAGCAUUGGAUACUGAUUCUGCAUGUGCAGGAUAGGUGGGAGGCUUUGAAGCGGAGACGUCAGUCUUCGUGGAGUCAUCCUUGAAAUACCACCCUUGUAUUGUUAGUAUUCUAAUCCCAUCCCGUGAAUCCGGGUGAGAGACAUUGUUAGGCGGGUAGUUUGACUGGGGCGGUCUCCUCCUAAAAAGUAACGGAGGAACCCAAAGGUUCCCUCAGCAUGGUCGGUAAUCAUGCGUAGAGCGCAAAGGCAUAAGGGAGCUUGACUGUGAGGUCGACGGACCGAGCAGGUACGAAAGUAGGGCUUAGUGAUCUGGUGGUUCCGUAUGGAAGGGCCAUCACUCAAUGGAUAAAAGGUACGCCGGGGAUAACAGGCUUAUCUCCCCCAAGAGUUCAUAUCGACGGGGAGGUUUGGCACCUCGAUGUCGGCUCAUCACAUCCUGGGGCUGGAGAAGGUCCCAAGGGUUGGGCUGUUCGCCCAUUAAAGUGGUACGUGAGCUGGGUUUAGAACGUCGUGAGACAGUUCGGUCUCUAUCCGCCGUGGGCGCAGGAGAAUUGAAGGAAUCUGCUUCUAGUACGAGAGGACCGAAGUGGACGAACCUCUGGUGCACCAGUUGUUUCAUCAGAAGCAUCGCUGGGUAGCUAUGUUCGGAAAGGAUAAGCGCUGAAAGCAUAUAAGUGCGAAACCUGACCUGAGAUUAGUUCUCCCUAUCAUAUUGAUAAUAAGGCUCGUUGUAGACUACGACGUUGAUAGGCCACAAGUGUAAGUGCAGUAAUGCAUUCAGCUGAGUGGUACUAAUUGGCCGAAUGGCUUUAUCAA
rnacentral:rRNA from 1 species